AGGCCUGGCCUCUGCUGCAGUUCCGCCGCCGCUGCGCGGGUGGAGAAGGUUCCCGGCUCUGGUGGUUUUUGUUUCUCUUGGAUCCACGCCAUCUCCCAGCAUCCGCGGACAUCCGCACCUUCCCGCACUGUCUGCUGUGUCUCCGCCUCUGUCCCGCGCCAUCUCUCACGGCGCCCCGGGACAGGCUUCAGUGACUAGCAGUGACCAAGCAUGAGGCCGUCUGAGGAUGGAGGGAGUCAGGCUGUAGUGCGUUCAUUGCCUGAGACCCGAAUCCCCCCAGCACACGCGCCGUGUUUUCCUGUCGAUGAGCAUGAUGGUGUCCUGCCAGCUGGGCAGAUCCCUGGACGGCUUCUUGUCCCCUGCAGGAGUGUCACGUGGCUCUUGUUGCAUGAGACGCGUCGUCAGGGAGAGUGGGACUGAGUCCCGGAUGACCUGCAGACCCCUUCCUAGGGCCAAAUCGUCCUUGUUCCUGAUACCGUAGUGUGGCCGUUCAGGUCCUGCAGUAACAGCCUGCCUUCGUGGGUGCUAGAAACUGCCAGCUGCUGUGCCAAGUGUUCCGUGUGUCCCCCAGGGCCUGCUGUGAGUGCCCGUUCACCGAUUUUCCUUUGCAGCUGGGUCUGUGUGCGCAGAGGCUCCACAGGAGGUGUCAUCUUCGUGUCAGCCAGGCGCUAGGCCCUGGGGCCCCAGGAGGCGCCAGUAGUGUCGAAAAUGUGGAGAAAGAAAAAUAAAGGUGGGCCAGAUGUAGGAGCAAAGAGGGGUUCCACCAAUUCUGAAUCAUUCAGGAAGGUUCCAUUCGUCACGGUCUGCCAGAAGCCCGAGGAGUUUUCUUGUCAGUCACUGGAUGUUGUGUGGCAGGAGGAGUCCCCAGCCAUGUAGUCAGCCGUCAGCAGGGGCUGCCCUUCUGCCUUUCUGCACUGCAGAUGUGUUGGGUGGAGGCCGCAACCCUGCACCGGCGCCUUCACUUAGUAGACUCCGCAGGGGCAACAUGGUGCUCCCAAGAGGCGUGUCUGGCUCCCAGACAACAGGUCAGCAUUAGAUCUGGAGAUCGUUGAGGAAGUCCCAAGGCCAUGAGUCAGUGACUUUGGGGUGACUUGGGAUCUGGCAUUGCUGGUAUUUCUCCCCAAGAUUCCUUUUGUUCGUGGACACCAGCGGGGCAGAGAAUGGAGAGUGCAGUCCACACAUGAAGAGCUCCCCGCCGCCUGCUCGGAGUGUCAUGGGAGAACUGUUCACUCAGCACGAGAAAUCAGGGCAAAGCGCUGGGACUGGGGGCUUGGGGUCCCCUUCAGCUGGCUCUGAGUCCCGACAGCAGUGCCCUUGGACGCCGUGGACAGGGAAGGCCGGCCCCCGUCCCUCUGCCAUGCCUGCGUGACUUCAGUGACCAAGAGUUUUUCUCUUGAGUUGGCAGCUGCUCAUCAUCAUCACUUUUCUCUCCACCCAUCCAUUCAAUAAACCGUAUGCACCCAC